CCUACGGGUGGCAGCAGUGGGGAAUAUUGGACAAUGGGCGAAAGCCUGAUCCAGCCAUGCCGCGUGUGUGAAGAAGGCCUUCGGGUUGUAAAGCACUUUCAGUGGGGAAGAAAGCCUUGGGGCUAAUACCCUCGAGGAAGGACAUCACCCACAGAAGAAGCACCGGCUAACUCCGUGCCAGCAGCCGCGGUAAUACGGAGGGUGCGAGCGUUAAUCGGAAUUACUGGGCGUAAAGCGCGCGUAGGCGGUCUGAUAAGCCGGUUGUGAAAGCCCCGGGCUCAACCUGGGAACGACAUCCGGAACUGUCAGGCUAGAGUGCAGGAGAGGAAGGUAGAAUUCCCGGUGUAGCGGUGAAAUGCGUAGAGAUCGGGAGGAAUACCAGUGGCGAAGGCGGCCUUCUGGACUGACACUGACGCUGAGGUGCGAAAGCGUGGGUAGCAAACAGGAUUAGAUACCCGAGUAGUC
rnacentral:rRNA from 1 species